rnacentral:lncRNA from 1 species
UGAGGACUGAGAGUUUGCUGUGCAAAUAAACUCUUUGUUGAUGAUGUUUUUAUGUGUAAUUUAAUUACAUAAGCACUUGUCAAGUUUCAGGUGAAAACGAGUUAGGAUAGAGAAGUUACGCGACUUUUACUGAUUACUUAAUGUGAAUAGUAACUUGGGUUUUCCGGAGAGGCCAAUCAGUGGAGAUGACUUCUGGUGCGUAUUAGACUCCGUUCAUAGUGAUCCAAUAGCUUGUUUUUGAAGGUUUGACUAUUUUGGACCCAAUGGCAUUGACGGAUUUGGGUUUGAUACACGAUUUUUGAGAAAAAGAAAUUUUAUCGCAAAAAGGGCUUUUUGGUAAUUGGAGAGUGGAUGGAUUUCGUCGCAAAU